rnacentral:rRNA from 1 species
CGUCGAUCUCGUGAAUCAUCGAAUCUUUGAACGCACUUUGCACCUCGUGGCUUUUGUCACCAGGUAUACUUGUUUGAGUAUCUGACACCACCUCAUUUUCCUUUCGGGGCAAGAUGGACCUGAGAUUCGAUAGAUCUUGUGUCUAUGGUCUCUUUAAAGGUAGGCUAUUCUGGGAGGUCUCCUCUGGAGCUUGACAGACUAUUGGGAUAACAUCCUAACAAUCGUCUGUUGUGUUCAUGAAGAGUUGACUGACUUGGCCGUUGACGUGUAGGGAGCAUGAGGGAGGCAACUCUUUCGUGUAUUCUGCGUGUCGUACAAUGCACUGGAGCAAUUCAGGGUGUUGCGUGAUAUGGAUCUCAAAUCAAGUAAGGAUACCCGCUGAACUUAAGCAUAUCAAUAAGCGGAGG